CAACUACUCCCUCUGUCCCAAAUUUCUUGUCUUAGAUUUGUCUAGAUACGGAUGUAUCUAAUACUAAAAGGUGACUUGAUACAUCUGUAUCUAGACAAAUCUAAGACAAGAAUUUUGGGACGGAGGGAGCACUUU
rnacentral:pre_miRNA from 1 species